rnacentral:rRNA from 1 species
GAUGAACGCUGGCGGCGUGCCUAAUACAUGCCAGUCGAGCGAACAGACGAGGAGCUUGCUCCUCUGACGUUAGCGGCGGACGGGUGAGUAACACGUGGAUAACCUACCUAUAAGACUGGGAUAACUUCGGGAAACCGGAGCUAAUACCGGAUAAUAUAUUGAACCGCAUGGUUCAAUAGUGAAAGACGGUUUUGCUGUCACUUAUAGAUGGAUCCGCGCCGCAUUAGCUAGUUGGUAAGGUAACGGCUUACCAAGGCACCGAUGCGUAGCCGACCUGAGAGGGUGAACGGCCACACUGGAACUGAGACACGGUCCAGACUCCGACGGGAGGCAGCAGUAGGGAAUCUUCCGCAAUGGGCGAAAGCCUGACGGAGCAACGCCGCGUGAGUGAUGAAGGUCUUCGGAUCGGAAAACUCUGUUAUUAGGGAAGAACAAAUGUGUAAGUAACGAUGCACGUCUUGACGGUACCGAAUCAGAAAGCCACGGCUAACUACGUG